GGGCUGGGGCUCAGUGGUGGAGCACUCGCCUGACAUGUAUGAGGCACUGGGUUCAAUUCUCAGCAUCACA
rnacentral:tRNA from 1 species